AGAGUUGGAUCCUGGCUCAGGAUGAACGCUAGCGGCAGGCUUAACACAUGCAAGUCGAGGGGUAACAGGAGUAGCAAUACUUGCUGACGACCGGCGCACGGGUGAGUAACGCGUAUGCAACCUACCUCUAACUGGGGAAUAGCUCUCGGAAACGGGAAUUAAUACCCCAUAAUAUCACGAAAUUUUAUGUUUUUGUGAUUAAAGUUCCGGCGGUUAGAGAUGGGCAUGCGUGCCAUUAGUUUGUUGGUGAGGUAACGGCUCACCAAGACUAUGAUGGCUAGGGGGUCUGAGAGGAUGAUCCCCCACACUGGUACUGAGAUACGGACCAGACUCCUACGGGAGGCAGCAGUGAGGAAUAUUGGUCAAUGGGCGAAAGCCUGAACCAGCCAUGCCGCGUGCAGGAUGAAUGCCCUAUGGGUUGUAAACUGCUUUUAUACAGGAAGAAACUUCCGAUCGUGAUCGGAACUGACGGUACUGUACGAAUAAGCAUCGGCUAACUCCGUGUUAGUAGUUGUGGUAAUACGGAGGAUGCAAGCGUUAUCCGGAUUUAUUGGGUUUAAAGGGUGCGUAGGCGGAAGAAUAAGUCAGUGGUGAAAUCCUGCAGCUUAACUGUAGAAUUGCCAUUGAUACUGUUUUUCUUGAGUAUAGUUGAGGUGGGCGGAAUGUGUAAUGUAGUGGUGAAAUGUUUAGAUAUUACACAGAAUUUUAAUUGUGUAGGUAGCUCACUAAGCUAUUACUGACGCUGAGGCACGAAAGCGUGGGGAGCGAACAGGAUUAGAUACCCUGGUAGUCCACGCCGUAAACGAUGAUCACUCGUUGUUGGCGAUAUAUAGUCAGUGACCAAGCGAAAGCAUUAAGUGAUCCACCUGGGGAGUACGAUCGCAAGAUUGAAACUCAAAGGAAUUGACGGGGGCCCGCACAAGCGGAGGAACAUGUGGUUUAAUUUGAUGAUAUGUGAGGAAUUUUAUCUGGGCUUAAAUGCAGGAUGAUAGAUUGGGAAAUUGAUUUUUUUUGGAUGGACUGCAAGGUGCUGCAUGGUUGUUGUCAGUUUGUGUUGUGAGGUGUUGGGUUAAGUUUCAUAACGAGUGUAAUCCUUAUUGUUAGUUACCAGUGAGUAAUGUUGGGAAUUUUAGUGAAAUUGUUGGUGUAAAUUGUGAGGAAGGUGGGGAUGACGUUAAAUCAGCACGGCCCUUAUGUCCAGGGUUAUACACGUGUUACAAUGGUCAGUAUAAAGGGUAGUUAUUUGGUGAUAGGAUGUUAAUUUUUAAAACUGAUCUCAGUUCGGAUCGAAGUCUGUAAUUUGACUUCGUGAAGCUGGAUUCGCUAGUAAUCGCGCAUCAGCCAUGGCGCGGUGAAUAUGUUUCCGGGCCUUGUACACACCGCCCGUCAAGCCAUGGAAGCUGGGGGUACCUAAAGUCUGUAACCGUAAGGAGCGGCCUAGGGUAAAACUAGUGACUGGGGCUAAGUUGAAACAAGGUA
rnacentral:rRNA from 1 species